GGGUAUGACAUAAGUAGAGGCAGAGGAAGAAAAAAUCAAAAACCUGUGAACCAUCUGUUGUUCAUGGAUGAUUUGAAAAUCUAUGCCAACACAAAAAAAGGGUCCAUAAGUUCUCCAAAGACAUUGGUAUGGAAUUUGGACUGGAUAAAUGCUCAAAAUGCACAAUCAAAAAAGAAAAAAGAAAGCAGCAGAAAACAUACAGCUGGAUGAAGGGAGCUACAUUGAAGAUUUGGCUGAAGAUUCCACAUACAAAUAUUUUGGAAUCGAAGAAAAUGAGAGAGAGAGAAACACAAGAAUACCUAAACCAUUUAAAA